rnacentral:lncRNA from 1 species
GUCAGUCCUCAUCUGCAGUGAUGACAGUAGUAGGUGGAACAUGCCUGUCCUUGGGCAACAGGGCAGUGCACGUGCCAGCACCAAGUGGUUCCAGGUAGGCUGAUUCUUGGGCCUCCAGAUGGCUUACUCAGGUGAAGACAGCAGCAGCAGCAGCAAGGGGCCAGGCAGGCUGGUGGGCCCUUGGGACCCUGGACAGCAGGCAUGGUAUGAGUGAUGGCAGUAGUAGUGGCAGGAAAACCCUCUGCCUCCCCAGCUGUCUGUACUGGUGUUGGUGGGGGCUGUGAUGUGCUGGGUGGGCCAGUCCCCAGGCCCACAGGUGGUGCAUACAGGUGGGUUCCAGCUGUGAUGAUAGCCGCAGGCUGGGUGGGUCUAUCCUUAGGCCCUUGUUAAGAGUACUCAGGUGCCAACAGUAGUGGAUGGGGUGGGGCAAUCCCCAGUCCACUGAACAGCAUGCUUGAGCACUAGGGGGCAUGGAGCCAGGCUGGAUGGGUCUGUCUUUGGGGCUCCCAGUGGCGCAUAUGGGCAAGGGCUGUGGCGGGCAGAGCUGGGUGAUCGCCAACCCCCCAGUGUAGUGCUCAGGUGAUAGUGGCAGUGGUGGAUGGGGAAGCCUGUCCCAGUGUGCAUGCAAGUGGCUGCAGCCCUGCUGAUGGGAAAGUGAGGUUGCUGUCAGUGGCAGCAGCUGUAGGCAGGCAGUUGAGGAGCUUGUGUUUUGGCCACAGGUGGGGCUGUGGGUGUGGGAGCUUGUCCUCAGUUCAUAUGUAAACGCACAGCAGCACCAUUGCUGGGGCUGGCAGGGUUGUUGCCCACGGCUUGCUUUUCAGCCCAGUGGCAGCAGCCAGCAACGGUGGUGGCUGUAGAAGUUUACGAAGACAAAAGAGGAAUGACGACUCAGCAUAUUGUAAUUAUCCAGUUGAUAUUUAUCUUGUUCCAGUCACCUUUAGAAAGCUGUUUGGUGAGUACAAUGUUAAUAUAGAGACAAUCAGAAUGGUGUGUGCUUUUGUACAAAACUUGUGGAUCCAUCAAUGAGGCAUCUGCCAUUUUUUCUUUCUUCCCCUCUAUAUUACAAGUUCUGGAAUGCCUGUUCUAAUUCUCCAAGGAGAAUUAGAAAAUAAAAGGCAGAGUCUAGAGCCAUGUCAAUAUCCUCCCACAGAAUGUGUAUGGAGAAUAUUCCACUGGGAACCAUGAUAGAUAAAAACUUACCAGGAAGAGCAAAACAUCAAGAGAGUCUGACAAAAGCUCUGCCCUCCUCUGUAACCCAGCAGCCUCUGCAGAAUCAUCCUUUCUUCAUUGUUUUAAAAUGUUGUUAAAUACCUUGUCAGUUGCUUUAAAGGGACCCAGACCCAUUCUGAUAUUUUUACAAAAUAAAUCCAGUCUUUGGGUAAAGGUAUAGUAAUACUAUCCAUGGAUCUGAUGUUGAGUCGUGGAGGCUUCAAGCUCUGAAGAAGUAUGAACUAAUUCUAAACAGUGAUUAAGCAAUUAUUAUUUUCAUUUUACUAAUGACAUGACUUCUAGAGUUGGAGUGUCAGAAUAUUCUCUUGGAAGAAAAGGAUGCAAGUGUAGACACCUCAUCACUAGGUCCAAUCCACCUCACAGUGCUACUUUCAGUUUUGUAAAAAUUGGUCACGGCAACAAGUUUGAAAUAAUAGGUUCACUCUCAAACUGGCAACAAGCACGUGAUUGAGCUGCAUGAAUCUGGAAAGGCUUGUCAAACAAAACAGGCUGGUUCACAGCUGAAAGAAAAAAAAUACUUCUGGCAUUGUACUAAAUUCAGAAACCGUAUCCGACAAGGGGCUGAGCUGAGGUUGUGGUAUGGCCCCAGUCCUAGGAUUGGUCCCACCUACUUUGCCUAGUUCCUGACCACAUCUGGUAAUUCAGUGGUGAUGUGAUUAUGACAUUAACAGUGAUAGGUUUCCCCUGCUUAGCUGCUUAUUUGAUUGUGGAUAAUGUGUGAAUGGGGGCAGGAGAGGCAGUGGUUGGGCGCUGAUGUGUUAAUGAAUCCCAUGUCUCAAUAAUUAACACAUCUUCUGGAUAGCUUUGCAAAAAUGCAAUCU